AUUUUCUAGCCAGGGAGAAACUCAUCUGGAGUGAAUUUCGUGAGUGUCUCCUUUUGGUGGCAGGUUUCUGUGAGUUGUGAAGUGUGUAGUGCAGUCUCUUCCUUCCUGACACACACAUUUUUGGUUCAUAUGACACUUUUCAUAGUGCUGUAUAACUUAGGCCAUUUUCCUGUUGGCCAAGCUUUCUUAGAUUUUUCUUCUUUUUGUUUUUCCAUUAACUAAGCUUUGAUUUUUCUUCUUUGCAGGGUGGCAAUUUUAAGCCCAGCCAGAAAGGUUUUGCAGGAGGAACCAAAUCUUUCAUGGACUUCGGCAGCUGGGAAAGACACACAAAAGGAAUUGGACAGAAGCUUCUUCAGAAGAUGGGCUACGUCCCUGGACGGGGCCUCGGGAAGAAUGCACAAGGUAUCAUUAACCCAAUUGAAGCCAAGCAGAGAAAGGGAAAAGGUGCUGUGGGGGCUUAUGGAUCCGAGCGCACCACUCAGUCCAUGCAAGACUUCCCUGUGGUUGACUCAGAGGAAGAAGCUGAAGAGGAGUUUCAGAAGGAGCU
rnacentral:sRNA from 1 species